rnacentral:tRNA from 1 species
AGUCUUAUAUUCAAAAUAUGAUAUUAAAUUGCAAAUUUAGAGGUGAAUAAUAUUCUAAGGCUU